UACGGGAGGCAGCAGUAGGGAAUUUUUCACAAUGGGCGAAAGCCUUAUGAAGCAAUGCCGCGUGAACGAUGAAGGUCUUAUAGAUUGUAAAGUUCUUUUAUAUGGGAAGAAACGCUAAGAUAGGAAAUGAUUUUAGUUUGACUGUACCAUUUGAAUAAGUAUCGGCUAACUAUGUGCCAGCAGCCGCGGUAAUACAUAGGAUGCAAGCGUUAUCCGGAUUUACUGGGCGUAAAACGAGCGCAGGCGGGUUUGUAAGUUUGGUAUUAAAUCUAGAUGCUUAACGUCUAGCUGUAUCAAAAACUGUAAACCUAGAGUGUAGUAGGGAGUUGGGGAACUCCAUGUGGAGCGGUAAAAUGCGUAGAUAUAUGGAAGAACACCGGUGGCGAAGGCGCCAACUUGGACUAUCACUGACGCUUAGGCUCGAAAGUGUGGGGAGCAAAUAGGAUUAGAUACCCUAGUAGUCCACACCGUAAACGAUCAUCAUUAAAUGUCGGCUCGAACGAGUCGGUGUUGUAGCUAACGCAUUAAAUGAUGUGCCUGG
rnacentral:rRNA from 1 species